UUAUGGUGAAUUAGCCUGGUUUUAAACUAAUUGAUUUCGAGUCUAUAAAAUCUGGCAACCUCACAGUUGCUGUCUCAGAGUAGUCGAAAAGAUCUGCAUCGAGGAUGAGAUGAUCAGAUAAACGCGAGAAAUUAUACCCAGUGCUAAAGCCCUGUCUAGCCUGUUACCUCAUGAAAACAUAAAAGUGACGUCGACCAAGUGAUAGAGAGGGGAAAACUCUAAUAAUGCCAUGAAGGUCAACUUGUGUGCGCAUGCGCAUGCCCAAUGCUUUCUGUCCUGAUUGUCUGCUUGCAAUGACAUGACCGUGUAUGCACGAGGUUCAAGAAAAAUCAGCGAUGCUGAAAGGCGCGCGAGGUGACAAUUCAAGGAAACUCCAGCUGUUUUACCGACCUGGAAAAUGCCGUGCACGAGACGCAGUAGUGAAGGACGCGCGAGGUGAAAAGUCAGCUUGGAAAAACUCCGUGACCUUGACGUGCUUUUCGAAGUCGGGGGAAAAAACUGACACCUGGGUAGUGGGGCAUCUGUAAACAUCUUCUGACUGGAAGCUGGUCCAGUUCAGUGAGCUUUCAGUCUGGUGUUUGCAGUUGCAGGCUGCCACAUGACAACGUCCAUCCUGGAAGCAUUUAUAUUUAAGUGUGAAUAAAACACUUUACCUGUUCUAAACGUAGAUAUGGGCCGUUCAGAAUUGGUACAAACUGCUGUCCCACAACCAAAAUCACAAAUCACAAGUAUUCAAAUCUUAGAUGUUUACUAAGAUCCUUCUAUUAUCUAUUAAAAUCCACAAUAAUAUUUAAAAUAUCAGUAAGCUUAAUAUAUAUAAAAUCAUCAUUUAUUCUGUACUUUCAAUUGGUGGCUGUCCUGAACCCUAACCCCUAAAUUUCAACUUAGGAAAAUGAUAUUGAAAUAAUUUGUGCAUUUUAUUAUGUUGUUGUUUUUAAAAAUAUCUUUUUGAUUUAAAAAAUUUUUUUUUAAAUUAUUUUCUUUGUAAAUCAUGAAGCUUUAUGUAAAAAAAGAAAAUGUGUCCCGCAUUUUCAUGUCACCACCAAAACAAUGCAUGUUUUAGUCCAUUGACUGAGACUGAUUUUAACCAUACCCCUACAUUUUUAUUUAUUUAUUUUUUAAAAUCAGGAAAUAUUCCCAUGUCCCUCUCUCUCAUAGCUACAUGGUCAGUAGAUAGGUCCCAACAUUUUGAAGUAAAUGUGUUCAAAAGUCUGAAAAUCUGUGUGUAACUUUAGGGAACAUCAGUACCAAACACCAUUUUCUCUCCAAUUAAGCAAACUUUCUUUGGGUGUCAUUCCAUAAAAUUGAGUUUUUAAUGUGUGUACAACUGUUCAGAACUGUGCUAGUUAACCAUGUGCUGAUUAGCAUAUUUGAGCUAGGCUCAAAAGUAUCUAAAAUUGUCACUAACCAAAACAGUCACAACCAAAACAUGUGGUGAAGUUUCGGUUGUGACAUCAUUGUUUUGGUAAUGACAAAAGGGAACACGUAAUCCUUUAUUUGGGAGAAAUGAACAAAAUUUGAGUACAGUUAUGAAAAAUUAUUGCAGCUAUAUGAGAGAGAGGGACACAGGAAUAUUUCCUGAUUUUUUGAACUUCACUUAAAAAAAAAAAGAAAGAAAAA